rnacentral:rRNA from 1 species
AGUGGCGGACGGGUGAGUAACACGUAAGUAACCUGCCCAGAAGUGGGGAAUAACUAGCCGAAAGGCUGGCUAAUACCGCAUGUGGUGGCCUUUCCCUGGAGGGGUCAUUAAAGAUUUAUUGCUUCUGGAGGGGCUUGCGGUCGAUUAGCUUGUUGGUGGGGUAAUGGCCUACCAAGGCGACGAUCGAUAGCUGGUCUGAGAGGACGGUCAGCCACACGGGGACUGAGAUACGGCCCCGACUCCUACGGGAGGCAGCAGCUAGGAAUCUUGGGAAUGGGCGAAAGCCUGACCCAGCAACGCCGCGUGGGCGAUGAAGGCCUUCGGGUCGUAAAGCCCUUUUGUAGGGGACGAUAAUGACGGUACCCUGCGAAUAAGCCACGGCUAACUACGUGCCAGCAGCCGCGGUAAUACGUAGGUGGCAAGCGUUGUCCGGAUUUACUGGGCGUAAAGGGCGUGCAGGCGG